UACGUAGGGUGCGAGCGUUGUCCGGAAUUAUUGGGCGUAAAGAGCUCGUAGGCGGUCUGUCGCGUCGAUCGUGAAAACUUGGGGCUUAACCCUGAGCUUGCGGUCGAUACGGGCAUGACUGGAGUUCGGCAGGGGAGACUGGAAUUCCUGGUGUAGCGGUGAAAUGCGCAGAUAUCAGGAGGAACGCCGGCGGCGAAAGCGACUCUCUGGCCUGUAACUGACGCUGAGGCGCGAAAGCUAGGGGAGCAAACGGG
rnacentral:rRNA from 1 species